AAAGUUGCUUCGGUGGAUCACUCGGUUCGCGGGUCGAUGAAAAACGCAGUGAAUUGCGAUAAUAAGUACGAAUUACAGAUAUUAUGAGUGCCAUGUUUUUGAAUGCAUAUUGCGCCGUUGGGUUAUGCUCUUCGGCAUAUGUGAUUCAGGGUGGUUUGUU
rnacentral:rRNA from 1 species